rnacentral:misc_RNA from 1 species
GAUUUCUUCAAUUCUGACAACUCCUGAAUGAACAAAGAAAAAAAUUUGAAGGAACUCAAUCCACCAAACCAAGCCUCAAUCCAAACUAAUGGGGUGAAAUAUAUAUUAUCAGGGAAUGGCCAGUCCAGAAUUAAAAGCAAUAAUAUUCAUUAUUACCUGAACUAGUUUCUAAUUUUGUAGAAAUACACUAUUUAUACCACUGGUAAACAUUUAUUCAUCAAGGAUUCAGAUUUAUAAAACCACAUUGAAAGAAGUAAACACAAGAACAAUGAAGGGUGAAACUGUGUGCUUUUCAUCAAAUAAAAUAGUAUAUUCAGAUUCAAACAUUACCAAGAGAAUAGGUGCAUAUUGGAGUUUAUCUUCACAUCAAGAAAUUUGCUGCAUAUUGCGGUUGAAAUUUUUACAAAAU